AGUGAACACUGGCGGCGUGCCUAAUACAUGCAAGUCGAACGGAAUUUAAAAGAGCUUGCUCUUUUAAAUUUAGUGGCGCACGGGUGAGUAAUAUAUAGCUAAUCUGCCCCUUGCUGGAGGACAACAGUUAGAAAUGACUGCUAAUACUCCAUACUCCUUUUUACCAUAAGAUAAAUCGGGAAAGGAUUUCGGCAAGGGAUGAGACUAUAUCGUAUCAGCUAGUCGGUGGGGUAACGGCCUACCGAGGCUAUGACGCGUGACUGGUCUGAGAGGAUGAUCAGUCACAUUGGGACUGAGACACGGUCCAAGCUCCUACGGGAGGCAGCAGUAGGGAAUAUUGCGCGAUGGGGGAAACCCUGACGCAGCAACGCCGCGUGGAGGAUGACACUUUUCGGAGCGUAGACUCCUUUUGUUAGGGAAGAAUAAGACGGUACC
rnacentral:rRNA from 1 species